AACUGCGAAUGGCUCAUUAAAUCAGUUAUCGUUUAUUUGAUAGUACCUUACUACAUGGAUACCUGUGGUAAUUCUAGAGCUAAUACAUGCUGAAAACCCCGACUUCGGAAGGGGUGUAUUUAUUAGAUAAAAAACCAACGCCCUUCGGGGCUCCUUGGUGAAUCAUAAUAACUUAACGAAUCGCAUGGCCUUGCGCCGGCGAUGGUUCAUUCAAAUUUCUGCCCUAUCAACUUUCGAUGGUAGGAUAGUGGCCUACCAUGGUGGCAACGGGUAACGGGGAAUUAGGGUUCGAUUCCGGAGAGGGAGCCUGAGAAACGGCUACCACAUCCAAGGAAGGCAGCAGGCGCGCAAAUUACCCAAUCCCGAUACGGGGAGGUAGUGACAAUAAAUACUGAUACAGGGCUCUUUUGGGUCUUGUAAUUGGAAUGAGUACAAUCUAAAUCCCUUAACGAGGAACAAUUGGAGGGCAAGUCUGGUGCCAGCAGCCGCGGUAAUUCCAGCUCCAAUAGCGUAUAUUAAAGUUGUUGCAGUUAAAAAGCUCGUAGUUGAACCUUGGGCCUGGCUGGCCGGUCCGCCUCACCGCGAGUACUGGUCCGGCUGGGCCUUUCCUUCUGGGGAACCCCAUGGCCUUCACUGGCCGUGGCGGGGAACCAGGACUUUUACUGUGAAAAAAUUAGAGUGUUCAAAGCAGGCCUUUGCUCGAAUACAUUAGCAUGGAAUAAUAGAAUAGGACGUGCGGUUCUAUUUUGUUGGUUUCUAGGACCGCCGUAAUGAUUAAUAGGGAUAGUCGGGGGCGUCAGUAUUCAGCUGUCAGAGGUGAAAUUCUUGGAUUUGCUGAAGACUAACUACUGCGAAAGCAUUCGCCAAGGAUGUUUUCAUUAAUCAGGGAACGAAAGUUAGGGGAUCGAAGACGAUCAGAUACCGUCGUAGUCUUAACCAUAAACUAUGCCGACUAGGGAUCGGACGGUGUUUCUAUGAUGACCCGUUCGGCACCUUACGAGAAAUCAAAGUUU
rnacentral:rRNA from 1 species